rnacentral:rRNA from 1 species
UACGAAGGGGGCUAGCGUUGCUCGGAAUUACUGGGCGUAAAGCGCACGUAGGCGGUCUUUUAAGUCGGGGGUGAAAUCCUGGAGCUCAACUCCAGAACUGCCUUCGAUACUGGAAAGCUCGAGUCCGGGAGAGGUGAGUGGAACUGCGAGUGUAGAGGUGAAAUCCGUAGAUAUUCGCAAGAACACCAGUGGCGAAGGCGGCUCACUGGCCCGGUACUGACGCUGAGGUGCGAAAGCGUGGGGAGCAAACAGG